GGUUCCUCCUGUCGUGGAGGUUAAGGGGUGAGGAGGUCCCUCCUGUCGUUGAGAUGAAGGGGUGAGGAGGUCCCUCCUGUCGUUGAGAUGAAGGGGUGAGGAGGUCCCUCCUGUAGUGGAGGUUAAGGGGUGAGGAGGUCCCUCCUGUAGUGGAGGUGAAGGGGUGAGGAGGUCCCUCCUGUCGUUGAGAUGAAGGGGUGAGGAGGUCCCUCCUGUCGUUGAGAUGAAGGGGUGAGGAGGUGAAGGGGUGAGGAGGUUCCUCCUGUAGUGGAGGUUAAGGGGUGAGGAGGUUCCUCCUGUAGUGGAGGUUAAGGGGUGAGGAGGUCCCUCCUGUAGUGGAGGUGAAGGGGUGAGGAGGUCCCUCUUGUCGUUGAGAUGAAGGGGUGAGGAGGUCCCUCCUGUCGUUGAGAUGAAGGGGUGAGGAGGAUCCUCCUUGGGUGGGGGGGGUUAGCAGUGGUCAGACUUGGUCUCAUCCCCCUAUACCAUCCAAGAACCUCUCCUCACCUGAUGUCAACCUACCAUUGCAUUAACGUUUUGUUUCUCCUGUGCAUCAUUUCUAUUCAUGUUUAUAUUUAAUGGCGAUCCUAUUUUCUUCUACAUAUCUUCUGCAAACACAGUUGAAGGUCAAAUGUUUUGUUUUUGUUUGUUUUUAACGACGUGUGUUGAAAGAACUGAACAAAAUGAGUUUUGGCAUGAACUACUUGGGCACCUUAAG